UGGUGGAUUGAUUUGUCUUGUUAAUUCAGAUAACGAGCGAGACCUCAUCCUGCUAAUUAGUGAUGUGAAUUUGGUUCCUCGCAAGGGGUUCCUAUCUGAUUCGUAGACUACUUCUUAGAGGGACUCUCGGCACUUUUAGCCGAUGGAAGUUUGAGGCAAAAACAA
rnacentral:rRNA from 1 species